rnacentral:tRNA from 1 species
GGUGGCUCAGUGGUAGAGUGCUUGCCUCAUAUUCAUGAGGACCUGGGUUCGAUUUCUCAGCACCA